CAGCGCUGUCACAGGCAGAGGGAGGGACCAGCAGGGCCUGGGCCUGAGAGCAGUGCCAGAGGCCCAGGCAGGGCAGGUGUGGGCAGAGCUGUUGUGCAGGCGCAGAGAAGCUGCAGAGAGGCCACGGAGAGCGGGCCUGGCCAUGUGGAGUGCCCUGUGCGUGGGCUUCUUGCCCAUUGUAGCAGUCACUAGCCAGGUGGCCUUGGAGCAGCAGCCCAGGGAAGUGACCGUGCGAGAGGGAGAUGAAGUCACCUUCCACUGCAGCAUGAAGGAAGGUGAUUGGAACAGUAACUACAUGAACUGGUACCGUCAGAGCCCACGGGGCUCUCUGGAAUGGAUUUACGAGGAAAAGGAUGAUUAUGGAGCAGGUUUCAAAAAGCGCUUUAAGGGAAGAGUGCAGAAUCCCUGGACCACACUGCAGCUCCUGGCAACAGAACAAGGCGAUGCAGCAAUAUAUUACUGUGGAGCAAGAACCACCCUGGAGCAGCUCUGCAGCAGAGUGAACCAAAAAACAGCAGAUGGGGAUGACAGAUCUUUCUGGCAGCUGCUCCCCAGGGCUCUUGUCAGGCAAUGGCAGGUGCAGGAAACCUCCCUCUGGUUUGGUGGCACUAAAAGGCACUGGAGGGAGGGCCGCUGGAAGGGCUGGUGCCAUUGAUGGUGCAGGAUGAUCUGUGCUGGAAGGUGCAGAGGCUGCAGUUUGGGGAAGUGCAUGGUUAGUGCACCUUGCCAGGGCUCCUGUCCAGCACAGUCUCAUUUCUCCUCUGUGCCUUGCCUUGGUUUCCAGCCCUUUUUCCUCAGGGACAGUCAGCAUGGGUUUGGGAAGUGGGAAUAGGGCUUAGCCACAUUGACAGCAUUCUACAAUGAGACAAAGGGUCUUGCUGGGGGAGGAAACACUGGAUGUUGUGCAUUCUUCAUUCAGUUGAGCUCCCAGCACUGACUUCCCUGGAAACCUUCUGCACAAAUCCUUUCAUUAUGGUCAUGGUUCAGUGAUAUGGAUUAUGCAAGGGUACACAUUCCUCCUCCUGGCCUCUCCUCCUGGUCUCUGGGAAAUUGAAUUC